rnacentral:rRNA from 1 species
GACGAAUGCUGGCUGCGUGCUUAACACAUGCAAGUCGAGCGCCCCGCAAGGGGAGCGGCAGACGGGUGAGUAACGCGUGGGAAUCUACCCAUCUCUACGGAAUAACGCAUGGAAACGUGUGCUAAUACCGUAUACGUCCUUCGGGAGAAAGAUUUAUCGGAGAUGGAUGAGCCCGCGUUGGAUUAGCUAGUUGGUGGGGUAAAGGCCUACCAAGGCGACGAUCCAUAGCUGGUCUGAGAGGAUGAUCAGCCACACUGGGACUGAGACACGGCCCAGACUCCUACGGGAGGCAGCAGUGGGGAAUAUUGGACAAUGGGCGCAAGCCUGAUCCAGCCAUGCCGCGUGAGUGAUGAAGGCCCUAGGGUUGUAAAGCUCUUUCACCGGUGAAGAUAAUGACGGUAACCGGAGAAGAAGCCCCGGCUAACUUCGUGCCAGCCGCCGCCGUAAGAC